AUUGAACGCUGGCGGCAGGCCUAACACAUGCAAGUCGAACGGUAACAGGAAACAGCUUGCUGUUUCGCUGACGAGUGGCGGACGGGUGAGUAAUGUCUGGGAAACUGCCUGAUGGAGGGGGAUAACUACUGGAAACGGUAGCUAAUACCGCAUAACGUCGCAAGACCAAAGAGGGGGACCUUCGGGCCUCUUGCCAUCGGAUGUGCCCAGAUGGGAUUAGCUAGUAGGUGGGGUAACGGCUCACCUAGGCGACGAUCCCUAGCUGGUCUGAGAGGAUGACCAGCCACACUGGAACUGAGACACGGUCCAGACUCCUACGGGAGGCAGCAGUGGGGAAUAUUGCACAAUGGGCGCAAGCCUGAUGCAGCCAGGCCGCGUGUAUGAAGAAGGCCUUCGGGAUGUAAAGUACUUUCAGCGGGGAGGAAGGGAGUAAAGUUAAUACCUUUACUCAUUGACGUUACCCGCAGAAGAAGCACCGGCUAACUCCGUG
rnacentral:rRNA from 1 species